GUGCUCCCUUCAGCAGCCCAUAUACUAAAAGUGGAACCAUACAGAGGGGAUUAGCACGGCCCCUGCCCAAGGAUGGCAUUCAUAUUUGUGAAGUGUUCCAUAGAUUU
ensembl:snRNA U6 U6 spliceosomal RNA